AUACGUAGGGGGCGAGCGUUGUCCGGAAUUACUGGGCGUAAAGGGCGCGUAGGCGGUUAAUUAAGUCAGAUGUGAAACCCCUCGGCUUAACCGGGGACGUGCAUUUGAAACUGGUUAACUUGAGUGCAGGAGAGGAAAGUGGAAUUCCUAGUGUAGCGGUGAAAUGCGUAGAGAUUAGGAGGAACACCAGUGGCGAAGGCGGCUUUCUGGCCUGCAACUGACGCUGAGGCGCGAAAGCGUGGGGAGCGAACAGGAUUAGAUACCCUGGUAGUCCACGCCGUAAACGAUGGAUACUAGGUGUAGGAGGUAUCGACCCCUUCUGUGCCGGAGUAAACGCAAUAAGUAUCCCGCCUGGGGAGUACGGCCGCAAGGUUGAA
rnacentral:rRNA from 1 species